rnacentral:SRP_RNA from 1 species
CAUGGGCUCGAGGACUUACAAACCCCGCCAGGGCAGGAAUGCAGCAACGGUAGUAUGAUCCUUCUUGCCGUAGUUCUCUGGC